rnacentral:rRNA from 1 species
GAGUAAUGUCUGGGAAACUGCCUGAUGGAGGGGGAUAACUACUGGAAACGGUAGCUAAUACCGCAUAACGUCGCAAGACCAAAGAGGGGGACCUUCGGGCCUCUUGCCAUCGGAUGUGCCCAGAUGGGAUUAGCUUGUUGGUGGGGUAACGGCUCACCAAGGCGACGAUCCCUAGCUGGUCUGAGAGGAUGACCAGCCACACUGGAACUGAGACACGGUCCAGACUCCUACGGGAGGCAGCAGUGGGGAAUAUUGCACAAUGGGCGCAAGCCUGAUGCAGCCAUGCCGCGUGUAUGAAGAAGGCCUUCGGGUUGUAAAGUACUUUCAGCGGGGAGGAAGGGAGUAAAGUUAAUACCUUUGCUCAUUGACGUUACCCGCAGAAGAAGCACCGGCUAACUCCGUGCCAGCAGCCGCGGUAAUACGGAGGGUGCAAGCGUUAAUCGGAAUUACUGGGCGUAAAGCGCACGCAGGCGGUUUGUUAAGUCAGAUGUGAAAUCCCCGGGCUCAACCUGGGAACUGCAUCUGAUACUGGCAAGCUUGAGUCUCGUAGAGGGGGGUAGAAUUCCAGGUGUAGCGGUGAAAUGCGUAGAGAUCUGGAGGAAUACCGGUGGCGAAGGCGGCCCCCUGGACGAAGACUGACGCUCAGGUGCGAAAGCGUGGGGAGCAAACAGGAUUAGAUACCCUGGUAGUCCACGCCGUAAACGAUGUCGACUUGGAGGUUGUGCCCUUGAGGCGUGGCUUCCGGAGCUAACGCGUUAAGUCGACCGCCUGGGGAGUACGGCCGCAAGGUUAAAACUCAAAUGAAUUGACGGGGGCCCGCACAAGCGGUGGAGCAUGUGGUUUAAUUCGAUGCAACGCGAAGAACCUUACCUGGUCUUGACAUCCACGGAAGUUUUCAGAGAUGAGAAUGUGCCUUCGGGAACCGUGAGACAGGUGCUGCAUGGCUGUCGUCAGCUCGUGUUGUGAAAUGUUGGGUUAAGUCCCGCAACGAGCGCAACCCUUAUCCUUUGUUGCCAGCGGUCCGGCCGGGAACUCAAAGGAGACUGCCAGUGAUAAACUGGAGGAAGGUGGGGAUGACGUCAAGUCAUCAUGGCCCUUACGACCAGGGCUACACACGUGCUACAAUGGCGCAUACAAAGAGAAGCGACCUCGCGAGAGCAAGCGGACCUCAUAAAGUGCGUCGUAGUCCGGAUUGGAGUCUGCAACUCGACUCCAUGAAGUCGGAAUCGCUAGUAAUCGUGGAUCAGAAUGCCACGGUGAAUACGUUCCCGGGCCUUGUACACACCGCCCGUCACACCAUGGGAGUGGGUUGCAAAAGAAGUAGGUAGCUUAACCUUCGGGAGGGCGCUUACCACUUUGUGAUUCAUGACUGGGGUGAAGUCGUAACAAGGUAACCGUAGGGGAACCUGCGGUUGGAUCACCUCCUUACCUUAAAGAAGC